UACAGAGGUCCCAAGCGUUGUUCGGAUUCAUUGGGCGUAAAGGGUGCGUAGGUGGCGCUGUAAGUCGGGUGUGAAAUUUCGGAGCUUAACUCCGAAACUGCAUUCGAUACUGCGGUGCUUGAGGACUGGAGAGGAGACUGGAAUUCAUGGUGUAGCAGUGAAAUGCGUAGAGAUCAUGAGGAAGACCAGUGGCGAAGGCGGGUCUCUGGACAGUUCCUGACACUAAGGCACGAAGGCCAGGGGAGCAAACGGG
rnacentral:rRNA from 1 species